CUGAGGCUUCUACGACAACCACAACUGAAGCAACAACCACAACAUCUGAAGCAACAACCACAACAACUGAGGCACCAACGACAACCACAACUGAAGCAACAACCACAACAACUGAAGCAACAACCACAACAACUGAGGCACCAACAACAACCACAACAACUGAAGCAACAACCACAACAACUGAAGCAACAACCACAACAACUGAGUCACCAACGACAACCACAACGGAAGCAACAACCACAACAACUGAGGCACCAACAACAACCACAACAACUGAAGCAACAACCACAACAACUGAGGCACCUACGACAACCACAAUUGAAGCAACAACCACAACAACUAAGGCACCAACGACAACCACAACUGAAGCAACAACAACAACAACUGAGGCACCAACGACAAGCACAACUGAAGCAACAACUACAACAACUGAAGCAACAACCACAACAACUGAGGCACCAACUACAACCACAACUGAAGCAACAACCACAACAACUGAGGCACCAACGACAACCACGACUGAAGCAACAACCGCAACAACUGAAGCAACAACCACAACAACUGAGGCACCAACGACAACCACAACUGAAGCAACAACCACAACAACUGAGGCACCAACGACAACCACAACUGAAGCAACAACCACAACAACUGAAGCAACAACCACAACAACUGAGGCACCAACAACAACCACAACUGAAUCAACAACCACAACAGAGGCACCAACAACAACCACAAAAACUGAGGCAAUGAACAUUGCAACAACAACCACCACAGCAAAUACAACUGAAGCAACAAUAACAACAACAACUGAAUCAUCUACAUCCACAACUAUACCCACAGUCCCUGGUUUAGUAUCACUGGUACAUCUAGAGAUGAAGCUCACAGCCUUUGGGCAGGUGACCAAUGAAACAAUCAUUUACUUUGUUAAUAAGUUUUUAAUGGAGAAACUGAAUGUAACAGCCUCCAGCAUCAAAAUCAAACAACCAACACAAGCAGCAUAAGUGUCACAGCAAAUUUUCUAUUAAGACUUUGGCUGUAACAUGUUAAAUUUAUGGUUUGGAUGUAUUAAUUGUGUAAAGAUAAAUGUGUCUUGUUUUUGUUAACAAGACCUGGACUGUUCAAGAUGGACUUAAAUGUUUAACAAAAUGAUGCAGGGUUUUAUUUUGAAGAUCAGGGAUCUUGGAAGACGGGAAAAAGUAGAAGAAGGGAAAAAAGGUGGGAGAGCGCUCACGCUGAAUGUGUGCAGUACAAAACUCUCGUAUGAAAGCUCAGAUUAUAUGCAACGCACCCAAUUGAAUGAAGUGAGUAAAAUUAAGUCAGCACGACAGUUACGUGCAUGGACCUGUGUGGUGGUCGGGAGUAAACUUCAGGCCAAAGUUCAGAAGUUCAGAAAAGCGACUAUCACCAGUCCUGCUCGUUGACACAACGGGUAAAGAUUGCAGCACCUGGAGAGGAACUAGAGACCCAGCUAACAGCUUCGCUUCAGCGGUUGGGAGUCAAACACCAGCGACACGUGUGUCG